AAAAAUUCUGAGUAUCGGCCUAUACCUAUAUAUUUGAUAAAAUGUUAAACAUUGCUCUUUGUAUUGUAAUGAUACAUUCAUGAAAACAAGUAAUAUAUCUAUAUAUUAAUUAAUAUACUAUAAAAUUAAAAGACAUUUCAUUUAAAUAUAUAUCACAGUAAUGAGGUAGCCACAUAUGAUAGAUAAGAAAACAAGAAAGGCCAUUAAUAAUCUUUAAUUGGGCAAAAGUAUUAUGACAUGAAAAGCUCCAAUACAGAGCGUGAUAAAUCGCCUAUGCGCAUCCCGUGUGCAGAAUGAGUCACAGCGCACAGUGCUCCACAUAGAAAAGUUCAAAGCACAAAGGGAAGAGGAUUUUGAUGCGUAGUGUAUUAUAUCUGUACGAUAGUUUAUUGAGACUUUUUUAAACAGUUUUAACUUUCAAUUACUGUGCGCAUGAAGAACAAUUUAUAGUGCUCUCUACUCCAGUGUAGUGAUCUAACAGACACCCGGUAGAAAGUAACAUGCUUUAGAAACAGCACUAAACUCCAACAAGAUAAAGUAAUUUUGUGCAAAACCAUUGAUCUUUGUAUAUAGAUCAAUAUACUAAUAGUCAAGUCAAGUAAAGUCAAUAGUGCUUUUAACAAUACAGCUUGGAAUAGGAAAUUCCAAUUAAAUAGGAAAAUAAUGUGUCAAUAAUAAAAAAUGACAAUAGUAAACACUAAAUUUUCAGUUAAAGGCAGUUUAUCAUUGAAUUCAGUGAUGUCAUCAUCCAGCUCAGUUCAGUUUAAAUAUUAUCUGUGCAAUCAAGUCAACAAUAUUGCUGGAAAUGAAGUGUCCCCAACUAAGCAAGCCAGAGGCGACAGCGGCAAGGAACCAAAACUCCAUCGGUGACAGAAUGGAGAAAAAACCUUGGGAGAAACCAGGCUCAGUCGGGGGCCAGUUCUCCUCUGACCAGACAAAACAAGCAGUUCAAUUCCAGGCUGCAGGAAAGUCACAUUGUGCAAAGGACUCAUCUGAUUCCAGUGGUCUUGUCCUGGUGGCCGUCUAGGAGACAAGGUCUUUACUGGGGAUCUGUCUCUGGGGCGCAUCUAGUUGACGCAGCGUCUCGUUCCCUAUUCUCAGGGAACCAUGGUUACAUGCGUAACCUGAGACGUUUCCACUAACAUUCAGGGCUGUCGAGGUCAUCUCUAGGUGCUGAUCCACCAUCUGGACUAGAUACGCACUGGAUCCGGGUGACUGCAGUGAUCAUCUGAUCUGGAUACAGACUGGAUCUGGUGGCUACGAUAACCUUGGAAUAAGAAAGAAACAGACCAAUAUUAGUGUAAUUAGUAAUAAGCAAGAUUUUUAAAUCUAUACGAUGUUUAAUAGGAAGCUAGUGCAGUGUUGACAGAACUGGGCUAAUAUGGUCAUACUUCCUGGUUCUAGUAAGAAUUCUAACUGUUGCAUUUUGGACCAGCUGGAGUUUGUUUAUUAAGCGUGCAGAAAAAGCACCCAAAUAAAGCAUUACAAUAAUCAAACGUUGAGGUCAUGAACACAUGAAUUAACGUUUCUGCAUUUGACAUUGAAAGCAUAGGUCGUAAUUUAUAUAUAUUUUUGAGAUGGAAAAAUUAAGUUUUACAAAUGCUAGAAACGUGGCUUUCAAAGAAAAUAUUGGUAUCAAAUAGCACACCUAGGUUCCUAACUGAUGACGAAGAAUUGACAGAGCAGCCAUCGAUUCUUUGACAGUGUUCUAGGUUAUUUCAUGCAGAGGUUUUAGGUCCGAUAAUUAACACCUCUGUUUUUUCAUAAUUCAGCAGUAAGAAAUUACUCAUCAUCCAGUUUUUUAAAUCGACUAUGCAUUCUGUUUUUCAAAUUGGUAUGUUUCGCUGGGUCGUGAAGUUAUAUAAAGCUGAGUGUCAUCAGCAUAACAAAUCUAACACUGUGUUUCCUGAUGAUAUCUCCCAGGGGUAACAUGUUAAGCGUGAAAAGUAACGGCCCUAUUACUGAGCCUUGAGGAACUCCAUACUGCACUUGUGAUCGAUAUGAUACCUCUUCAUUCACUGCUACGAAUUGAUGACGGUCAGAAAAGUAUGAUAUGAACCAUGCUAAUGAACUUCCACUAAUGCCAACAAAGUUUUCUAGUCUAUGCAAGAGAAUGUUGUGGUCAACGGUGUCGAACGCAGUGCUAAGGUCCAGUAGCACUAAUAGAGAGAUAAAACCACGAUCAGAUGAUAACAGCAGUUCAUUUGUAACGCUAAUGAGAGGAGUCUCAGUACUAUGAUAUGGUAUAAAUCCUGACUGGAAAUCCUCACAGAUACCAUUUUUCUCUAAGAAGGAAUAUAAUUGUAAGGGAAACUACCUUUCGUAGUAUCUUGGACAGAAAAGGGAGAUUCGAGAUUGUUUCUCUGUUUUGUAAUUAAACAGAUUGUUUCUCUGUUUUGUAAUUAACCAGUUAUUUGGGGUCAAGAUGUGUUUUUUUUUUUUUAACAAAAAGGCUUAAUAACAGCCAGUUUGAAGGUUUUGGGGACAUUUCCUAAUGACAAUGACGAAUUAAUAAUAGUCAGAAGAGGAUCUAUGACUUCUGGAAGCACCUCUUUUAGGAGCUUAGAUGGAAUAGGGUCUAACAUGUACAUGUUAUUGGUUUAGAUGAUUUAACAAGUUUAUACAAUUCUUCCUCUCCUAAAGUAGAGAAUGAGUGGAAUUGUGGAAUUCAAUUCAAUUCAAGUUUAUUUGUAUAGCGUUUUUUACAACACAAAUCAUUGCAAAGCAACUUUACUGAAAAUUACGUUUCUACAAUAUUUAGUAGUAGCUUAUCAGUGAUGACUGUGAGUUUAUGUGCAUACGGCAGAAAUGUUCGGAAAAAUCAAUAAAAGACAUAAACAAACAGACGAUUAACACUAUUAACAGCAAUUAUGCAAUCAAACUUAUAGCGAAAUAUGGUAGUUCUGUAUGUUGUCUCUGGGUUAGCAUCAUCUGAGGUCCUCUAAAGGGGUUGGUAUCAUCUCUUCUCAGGUGUUCUGGAUCCAGACUGGAGCUUGUGUAAAUCCUAGUUACCACGGGAUGUAAAUCCCAAGGCAAAACAGAGAAACAGAUAGAGACAUAAUUAGCAUAGCUGCUGUUCCAGCCAAGUAAAAUUAAUUACAGUAGUUUAACCCAAGCUAAAGAAUAAUGAUGUGGAUUUGAUCAGAUAUAACUGCAGUCCAAAAUUAUGAGAUGCAUU
ensembl:lncRNA